rnacentral:lncRNA from 10 species
CACUGUCCCUCUGUCUUCUGUGGCAUCCUUUGCCUUGCAGCCACAGCCCAGCUAGCCCAGGCCAAGGGAGUCCGACCCCCACCCCGAAGCACAGGGAAGUUGCUGCCCUUUCCCGCAGUGACAGGAAUCCUCUCAAAGGUUCUGGAAGGCAAGGAUGCGGCCAUCCCUGGAGACGCCAAGGACCAUCAUGUGAGGUGGCUUUUAUCCUCCUCGCCCCUACUGGUACAGACGAGAAGAAACUGUGACUCAGAAGUUAAGCAUUUUCCCAUGGUCACUGGGCUACACAGAAAGGCCAGGAUUUGAACCCAAGCUUCUGCUUCCACCCAUCUUCAUUAGGAGUCAAGUUAUACUGUGGGUCUCAACCAUGGCUGCUCACUGGAAUCACCUGGAAGCUUCCCAAGUACUGAUGUCUGUGUCCCCAGCCCAGAGGUUCUGAUAUCAUUGUCUGGGUGUGGCCUAGCCUUGGAUCUGCAAAAGCUCCCUAGGCAGUUCCACUGCAUGAAGUUGAGAACCACUGAUACAGAGUGACCUCACCUCCCCACCCCCAAUGGAGGUGCUAUGGUUUGAAGAGCAAAACUCAUGUUGAAAUUUAACUGUUCUUGCACCUCCUGCAGAGCCUGGGAGCUCCCAGUCCAGCCAAGGAUGUUGGAUCUCAUGGUCCUAAGUACUUCUUUGACACCCCAUUCCCCUCAGUAAAAUAGUUUGACCCCUUCUCCACCAAAAAAAAAAAAAAAAGAAAGAAAUUUAAUUGCCAUGAUGAUGGUAUUAAAAGGUGGGACCUUUAAGAGGUGAUUAGGUUAUGAGGGUUCAGCCCUCAUGAAUGGAUUAAUGCCGUUAUCUUGGGAGUGGAUUAGUUAUCCCAGG